AUUGAACGCUGGCGGCAUGCCUUACACAUGCAAGUCGAACGGUAACGCGGGGCAACCUGGCGACGAGUGGCGAACGGGUGAGUAAAGCAUCGGAACGUGACCAGUAGUGGGGGAUAGCCCGGCGAAAGCCGGAUUAAUACCGCAUACGACCUAAGGGUGAAAGGGGGGGAUCGCAAGACCUCUCGCUAUUGGAGCGGCCGAUGUCAGAUGAGAUAGUUGGUGGGGUAAAAGCUCACCAAGGCGACGAUCUGUAGCUGGUAUGAGAGGACGACCAGCCACACUGGGACUGAGACACGGACCAGACUCCUACGGGAGGCAGCAGUGGGGAAUUUUGGACAAUGGACGAAAGUCUGAUCCAGCCAUGCCGCGUGCGGGAAGAAGGCCUUCGGGUUGUAAACCGCUUUUGUCAGGGAAGAAAUCCUUUGAGCUAAUACCUCGGGGGGAUGACGGUACCUGAAGAAUAAGCACCGGCUAACUACGUGCCAGCCGCCGCCGUAA
rnacentral:rRNA from 1 species